CAUUAUAUUAUAUAACUUUGUGAAAUCCGAUAAUCUGAUUGGUCAAUACGAAGUACUUAUUUUUUAAUAACGACCGCUGAAAGCGAAUAAUGACUCGCACGAGCUGCCUCGUUUUCACUUUCGCUUUAGACAAACAUGGAAGUUCGCAAGUUGUAGGUAAGAAAAAUUUAAAAGACAAAGUGAAGAACUCUGAGGCUGAUAAUACAAAACAAUUACAAGGAUAUCUGUCAACAUUUUUCGGGAAUACUUAGCACAUACCAUUUCAUGGGGUAUUAUAGUAUUCUGUGUUGUUCGGAGAUAGAUAUAUUGCGUUAUUAUUAUGAUAUGGGUUAAAAUUUAUUACCGAAACAAUUUCCUCUGAGUGAUAUUCAAUGAAUUCUGAAACAUAAUUACAUUCAACUUAUUUAUGGUUAAUACUAUCUCUGUAAACAUAAGGAAGAUAUACAUUGUACUAAAAAAAAUUGGGAAAUUAUUAUUUAUAUAAUAUAAUAAAUAUGGACUCAAUGCACGAUACAUGAAGUAUAUCGACCUCGGGCUAGCGCCCUCGGUCGAUAUACUACAUGUAUCUUCGGUCAAUAUCUGUCAUCCUGGGUCAUUAUAAAUGCAUAUUGACCUACAUUGAGUCCAUAUUUGUAUAAUAUUUACAUUUCCAAUGUCUUUGUCCGAGAUAAAAUUACCAAUUGUAAAUGUAAUUGAUUUCCUCAUGAAUGUUUUGGCGCGGUUCCAAAAAAAAAACACGUGCAAGGCGGGACAACACCUAGAGAGAAGCAGGCUUGGAGCCCGUGGAUUGGCGGAAUCAAAGCAUGUAAAUAUAAGGAAUAACUGUCUUAUUUUUCGAAUUCAUGAAGAUGAUCAAUGGAUUGGCUU